rnacentral:rRNA from 1 species
UACGUAGGGUGCGAGCGUUUGUCCGGAAUUAUUGGGCGUAAAGAGCUUGUAGGUGGUUUGUCGCGUCUGCUGUGAAAAUCCGGGGCUCAACCCCGGACUUGCAGUGGGUACGGGCAGACUAGAGUGUGGUAGGGGGAGACUGGAAUCCCUGGUGUAGCGGUGAAAUGCGCAGAUAUCAGGAGGAACACCGAUGGCGAAGGCAGGUCUCUGGGCCACUACUGACGCUGAGAAGCGAAAGCAUGGGGAGCGAACAGG